rnacentral:rRNA from 1 species
GAUCCUGGCUCAGGAUGAACGCUAGCUACAGGCUUAACACAUGCAAGUCGAGGGGCAGCAUUGGGAUAGCUUGCUAUUCCAGAUGGCGACCGGCGCACGGGUGAGUAACGCGUAUCCAACCUUCCCCAUAGUAGGGCACAGCCCGGCGAAAGUCGGAUUAAUUCCCUAUGUUGUCCAGAGAGGACAUCUGACCUGGACGAAAGAUUCAUCGCUACGGGAUGGGGAUGCGUCUGAUUAGGUUGCAGGCGGGGUAACGGCCCACCUGGCCGACGAUCAGUAGGGGUUCUGAGAGGAAGGUCCCCCACAUUGGAACUGAGACACGGUCCAAACUCCUACGGGAGGCAGCAGUGAGGAAUAUUGGUCAAUGGACGGAAGUCUGCACCAGCCAAGUAGCGUGCCAGGAAGACGGCCCUAUGGGUUGUAAACUGCUUUUAUCAGGGGAUAAAGUGAGGUAUGUAUACCUUUUUGCAUGUACCUGAUGAAUAAGGACCGGCUAAUUCCGUGCCAGCCGCCGC